rnacentral:rRNA from 1 species
CAAUAGCGUAUAUUAAUGUUGUUGCAGUUAAAAAGCUCGUAGUUGGAUUUCGAAUGGGAGCGGUGGGUCGGGUCCGCAAGGGCUCGUUACCUGUUUCGUCUCCGGUUCUUUUUCGGGAUUUGUUUCUGGCGUGGCUGGCAUUGAGUUGUCGGUGGCGUCGGGCCCGUCGUUUACUGUGAACAAAUUAGAGUGUUCAAAGCAAGGUGUGUCUUGAAUACAUUAGCAUGGAAUAAUGAGAUAGGACUUUGGUGGUUUCGGUGAAAGCCGGAUAUUUUGUUGGUUUGCACGCCAAAGUAAUGAUUAAUAGGAGCAGUUGGGGGUAUUCGUAUUCAAUUGUCAGAGGUGAAAUUCUUGGAUUUCUAGAAGACGAACUACUGCGAAAGCAUUUACCAGGGAUGUUUUCAUUA